UAGACGGCCCUUUUCAGGGCCCCCAUUAUUUUCAAACGAAGCUGU
rfam:Ixodes scapularis strain Wikel colony gcontig_1108378604668, whole genome shotgun sequence.